ensembl:lncRNA LINC02028 long intergenic non-protein coding RNA 2028
AGUUAAAGGUGGGUAUAAAUAUGAGUGCAGAACUGCCUCUGAGCUGAUACUCAGGGCACACAGCAUAUAGAGUAUUCUUGUUCCGCAAAAAACAGUACCUCUGCUGCUGCUGUACACUCUGCUGCUUCAGAGUCGCUGUUUAACACUGUGGGUUCACCCUUGAAUUCUUCCUGGAUGAAGCCAAGAACCCUCCUGGGCUAAGCCUCAAUUUUGGGGCUUGCCUGUCCUGCGUCAGCAUGAGUACGGACUUUGGGGUUACAAAUAGGUGCAUUUGCAAAUAUGGAAUCCACGAAUGAUGAAGAUAGACUAUCACUGGGUACCACCGGAAUUCUCUGACCUGAUAACUUCAUAUGCAAAUCCUGGCUGGUCCUUGGAACAGGAGAAAGGGUUGGAAAACAAAGAUCACUUUUCUCUGGCCAAAUGGAAUCACCCAACAAAGUACCUUCCUGAUGGGCCAGCUAUUUCAGAUGAUGAAGGUUUAAGAAGCAGCAUCAUCAGCGAACUGUGUUUUGAAGAUUUGAGGGAAGGGCUGACCUCAGGAUUUUAUACUAGGUAUUUGAUGCAAUGCAGACUGGAAUCCUCCCCACAAGGAUGCCCUGGCCUGAGUGGCACAGAGAUCAAUGCAGCAGUCAUUUCCUGGGCGGGGAAAGCCCAUCCACAGUGGCCCUGGAAUGAUGCUGGUCUUACCUUCUAUUCCUAGGAAGGCCCUAUCUCAAGUGGCUCUGGUCCAUGCAAACAGAUGGAAACGGGUGUGGGGAAGCACAGGCCUCCUACUCAUGUUAAGAGAGCUGCUCAGAGGCAGGAAUCCAGAACCAGGAAUGUCCCCAGUGGCUGCCCAAGGUACAAGUGGCAGGCAGCGGGGAGAAUGGCAUGUGAAGUCAUUUGUAACCUGGCCCCAGCUUGGUUUCCAAGUCUCAGAGGAGAUUAUGGAUAUGGUAGUGCCUGGCUCAGUGCUUAAAAUCCAUUCUCCUGCUAUUUCCCUCACCUACACUCAGCCCCACAAGCCGAGAUGUUUGCUGGACAUUUCAGGCACUGCCACCCAGUUCUGUCUACCUUACCUGCUAACACCUGUUGACCAUCCUUCAUGUGAAGGCUUCCCCAAAUACUUCCCAAUCAAAACACUAAAAGGCAGACCUGAAAUUAAUAAAAAUGUUAAUUAAAUCUGUACAACAGAAA